GAUCAUGGCUCAGAUUGAACGCUGGCGGCAGGCUUAACACAUGCAAGUCGAACGGUAACAGGAGAGAGCUUGCUUUCUUGCUGACGAGUGGCGGACUGGUGAGUAAUGCGUUGGGAAUCUGGUCUUAGUGGAGGGGGAUAACGACGGGAAACUGUCGCUAAUACCGCGUAGAGUCGAGAGACGAAAGUGCGGGACCGCAAGGCCGCAUGCCAUAGGAUGAGCCCAAGUGGG
rnacentral:rRNA from 1 species